rnacentral:rRNA from 1 species
UACAGAGGUCUCAAGCGUUGUUCGGAUUCACUGGGCGUAAAGGGUGCGUAGGUGGCGUGGUAAGUUUGAUGUGAAAGCUCAGGGCUUAACCCUGAAAUGGCAUUGAAUACUACUGUGCUGGAGGUUUGGAGGGGGGACUGGAAUUCUUGGUGUAGCAGUGAAAUGCGUAGAUAUCAAGAGGAACACCAGUGGCGAAGGCGAGUCCCUGGACAACACCUGACACUGAGGCACGAAAGCCAGGGGAGCGAACGGG